rnacentral:rRNA from 1 species
UCGAAAUAAAGUAGUGAAGCGUGUGAGCCAUGUGCCGAGAAAAGCUGCUAUUGUGUAAUGCGUGCCCGUACCGUAAACCGACACAGGUGGAUGAGGAGAGAAUCCUAAGGCCGACGGAAGAAGCAUUGUUAAGGAAUUCGGCAAAAUGACCCCGUAACUUCGGGAGAAGGGGUGCCUGCGAGAGCAGGCCGCAGAGAAUAGGCUCAAGCAACUGUUUAGCAAAAACACAGGUCUAUGCGAAACCGAAAGGUGAAGUAUAUGGGCUGACGCCUGCCCCUGCUGGAAGGUUAAGAGGAGAGGUUAGCGUAAGCGAAGCUUUGAAUUUAAGCCCCAGUAAACGGCGGCCGUAACAAUAACGGUCCUAAGGUAGCGAAAUUCCUUGUCGGGUAAGUUCCGACCCGCACGAAAGGCGUAAUGAUUUGAGCACUGUCUCGACAAUGCAUCCGGUGAAAUUGAAGUACCAGUGAAGAUGCUGGUUACCCGCGCCAGGACGGAAAGACCCCAUGGAGCUUUACUCCAGUUUGAUACUGGGAUUCGGUACUGCAUGUACAGGAUAGGUGGGAGACAAAGAAGGAUGGACGCCAGUCUGUCCGGAGUCGCUGUUGGGAUACCACCCCUGUAGUACUGGGUUUCUAACCAGUUGCCAUGAACUGGCAAUGGGACAAUGUCAGGCGGGGAGUUUGACUGGGGCGGUCGCCUCCGAAAGGGUAUCGGAGGCGCUCAGAGGUUCCCUCAGAAUGGUUGGAAACCAUUUGAAGAGUGCAAAGGCAGAAGGGAGCUUGACUGCGACACCGACGGGUGGAGCAGGUACGAAAGUAGGACUUAGUGAUCCGGUGGUAUAAAGUGGGAUUGCCAUCGCUCAACGGAUAAAAGCUACCCUGGGAUAACAGGCUUAUCACUCCCAAGAGUUCACAUCGACGGAGUGGUUUGGCACCUCGAUGUCGGCUCAUCGCAUCCUGGGGCUGUAGCAGGUCCCAAGGGUUGGGCUGUUCGCCCAUUAAAGCGGUACGCGAGCUGGGUUCAGAACGUCGUGAGACAGUUCGGUCCCUAUCCGGCGCGGGCGGAGGAUAUUUGAGAGGAGCUGUCCUUAGUACGAGAGGACCGGGAUGGACGGACCACUGGUGUAUCUGUUGUCGACCAACGGCAUGGCAGAGUAGCCAAGUCUGGAAGGGAUAAACGCUGAAGGCAUCUAAGCGUGAAGCCCCCCUCAAGAUGAGAUAUCCCUCCUUCGGGAGUAAGACCCCUUGAAGACUACAAGGUAGAUAGGGCAGAGGUGGAAGCAUGGCAACAUGUGGAGCUGACUGUUACUAAUAGGUCGAGGGCUUAAUC